UGAGGAGCAGCAGAGGAGCAGCUGAGGAGCAGCUGAGGAGCAGCUGAGGAGCAGCUGAGGAGCAGCAGAGGCUCAUUCAGGUCUGUAGUUCAUCUUCUUAACAAACUAAGUGUUCCUCAGAGAGACGCUGCGGCGUUAGCUCAGACCCAGAGUUUAUGGUCUGAAUGUUUCGCUCUUCAGUGAAGAGCUGCAUGAUUGUUGGCCGGAUGAAUGAAUGAAUGAGUGAGUGACUCACAUCGAUGGAGUAGCUCUUCUCAGCGCCUUUCUUGCCGACAGCGACCACCUGCCAGUGCAGCAUCCUGGAGUGCGACAGGUCGAUGAAGAGUUCGCCGUACGUCCAGCGAACGUACAGAACGCCAUGAGAGUAAUCGACGGAGGAGAUGUGAGGAGCCUCAGGAGCUGCAGACAGUGAGAGACGCCAGUGAGAGACGCCAAUCUGGGAUUUGAAGCAGCAGGUGUAACGUGGUCACACAGCAGAGAGUCGUACCUGUAACCAAGCUCACAGUGGAGCUGUCGCAGCAGCUGAGCGGAGGGUCGCCCCACGUCACCAUGGAAACACGGAAAUUAUAAUACCACGCCGGCAGCAGGUGUUUUCAGAAAACCUUGUGAUGAAGCUGAGGGUUACCACUGAAGCGAUGACGGAGGCGGUGGCGGCAAUCUCGUAGUAGGUGGUCCACUCCGAGGACAGCGUGACCGGAUUGAAGAAGAAGGUCUGCAGGACGUACUUUCUGAAGGCCACGUGGUACGGACGCUGCCAGUUCAGGAUCACCGCCGUGGGACUCAGAGGACGCAGUUAUAUCUGCCACCCUGACACGAGCGGCUGUCGGCAGCAGAGGAGCUGAUUUCCUGUUACGGCCGUGUGUUUCAGACAGGUGGGUCUGAUGCUAUCUGCUGCGCUCUCAUUAACUCUGACAGCAGGAGAGCCGACUCCUCGCCGAGCGUCCUCUCUCCGACUCCGUGAAGGUGACGACAGGAAAUCAGCAGUUUCCCUGAGCCCGGAAACCAGAUGCUGAUCUGAACUCUGACCUCAUGGAGAGAAGCUAAAUAAAACCCUCAGACAGUGACGACAGACCGCGCUCAGAUACUGAUCACAGAUUCAAACUGAUUCAAAUCCAUUGAUCUGAUGCCGAUUAUCGAUUGGUUCCUGUCCAAACAUUAACCCAAACUUUCCAGAAAACAUUUCCGCUUUUUACAAAAGCUUCACCUGAUACUUAGAGGAACAGACAGACUGGGAAGCGAAUCGCCUCCUCCUGUAUGAAUGCUGCUGCAGCAGUGAAACAGUAAAUCCAUCUUCAUGUCACUUCAGCAGCUUUUCCAUGGAUCGUUGUGAGUGGAUUAAAGAGCUUCUCAUAUCAAUAACAGCAACAUGUGACAUGUGAAGCAGAUUUACAGGAUGGACGGACACUCUGUGAAACCAAACCCCAGCACAUAAUCCACCUGCUGAGACUCUGACAUGCACUGAGGCAUGAUGGGAGUUAUCACAACAAGACGUGAAGAAGAAGUUUCUUCAACACGUGUGACAGUGAAAAUGGCCGAGGGCAGAAGCACGAGACGCGUCCGUCUGUUGGUGGAUGAUUGACGCUCGCCCUUAUAAAGCCUGACGUCUCCUCUCCUGGCCUUUUAAAACGCAGAGCCGGUGUUUUUAAGUUUAACUGCAGUGGGGUGGUAUUUGGAGAGGCUCCAGGUCCAGGUCCAGGUCCGGGUCCAGGUCCUAAGACAUGCUUUGUGGAUUACCAUGGACACGGUGGAGAGCAGAGAGCGUCCAGGGCAGCGGAGGCUGAAUGCUAAUGUUCUCCCCCAUCACGGACGAGCUGCACAGGCCUGAUACACAGGCCCGAGGACGAGGCUCUGACGUGGAAAGCGAAGUCUCAGCGUCCGUCUCUGGAGACCAGGAAGUCGCGGUCUGUUCGUCGAUGCUGCACUUUUAUGACAAAACCUUCUCGUCAGGACAACACAGGAGCACGGACGCAGCUUUAAUGACUGAAAACAGGGAGAGGCCGGACCGUGACCCGACCCGUGACCCGAACCGUGACCCGGACCGUGUCGGACGCAGCUGUGUGUGGUGGUGAAUCCGUUUUCUCUGGGACCUGUGUUCAGGACGCUCCUGAGCCGAUCGCGCCCCCUGCUGGUCACAGCUGCAAACUGCUGAACGAUGAGUGAAGGCACGUUCCUGUAAAAAGCUGUGAGUAGAAAAGACAAUGUUUGUCCUCCAUCACUUCAGGACGUCCUGUAGGACAGACGGAUGGACGUCAGCAGCCUGCAGGCUCUGCAGCAGCCUCUGC